AAACACUUUGAUUUUAUUGACUUAGAAUAUCAAAUCGAUGUGAUUAUCAAGAGAAGUUUCGGUGAUCCAGAUUACCAUUGGAUUAUCUCUAGAGAGAGAGAGAGAAUCUCAUUCCCCCAAUUACACUUGUGCAAGACCAUCCCAAGAAUAGCUUUGGUUGGUGAAUAACAUCAAUGCAUUAUCAUCAUCUGGAACCCUAACACAUCACUCGAGCAGCGAGAUGAUCUCCAAUGCAAUGGUACACAGAUGCUCCAGCGCCUCCGCUCUCCUCGCCAGCUCCGCCGGAUACACCACCUUCGGCUUCUGCUUAAACAGGACCUUGCACACCCUCGGAUACUCCGCAGCAGCACUGACCUGAACAUAUGCAUAGUCAUACGACUCAGCCGCCAUCUGGUCCAACGACGACUGAAGCGCCUCCUUGGCGUACGCGUACUUGGUUGAACAAGUAGUGAGCAAGGAACGCAGUACGGGGUCCGAGGAGUUUUGGGCGAGGGUGGCGGUGUAGGCGGAGGUGUUGGUGGCGUUUGAGACGGCGAGGUUGAUGGCGAUGGUGGAGAGGCCCUUAACGUCGGCGGUGGGGCUGUGGGGGUCGGAGUCGAGGGAGGAGACGCAGAAGUCGUAGUAGGUGGUGGUGUUGCAGGUUUUUCGGAUGAGUUGGGUGGGGGCGGAUAAGGAGAAGGGGAGGAGGAGGAGG
rnacentral:misc_RNA from 1 species